rnacentral:snRNA from 1 species
GUGCUUGCUUUGGCAGAACAUAUACUAAAAGUGGAAUGAUACAGAGAAGAUUAGCAUGGCCCCUGUGCAAGGAUGACAUGCAAAUUCAUAAAGCAUUCCAUAUUUUU